AUUGAACGCUGGCGGCAGGCCUAACACAUGCAAGUCGAACGAGUGGCGGACGUGUGAGUAAUGUCUGGGAAACUGCCUGAUGGAGGGGGAUAACUACUGGAAACUGUAGCUAAUACCGCAUACCAUCGGAUGUGCCCAGAUGGGAUUAGCUAGGAGGUGGGGUAAAUGCUCACCUAGGAGACGAUCCCUACCUGGUCUGCUAGGAUGAACAGCCACACUGGAGCUGAGACACGGUCCAGACUCCUACGGGAGGCAGCAGUUGGGAAUAUUGCAAGAUGGGCGCAAGCCUGAUGCAGCCAUGCCGCGUGUAUGAAGAAGGCCUUCGGAUUGUAAAGCACUUUCAGCUGGGAGGCGUUACCCGCAGAAGAAGCACCGGCUAACUCCGUGCCAGCAGCCGCGGUAAUUC
rnacentral:rRNA from 1 species